CCUACGGGGGGCUGCAGUGGGGAAUAUUGCACAAUGGGCGCAAGCCUGAUGCAGCCAUGCCGCGUGUGUGAAGAAGGCCUUCGGGUUGUAAGGCACUUUCAGCGGGGAGGAAGGCGGUGAGGUUAAUAACCUCAUCGAUUGACGUUACCCGCAGAAGAAGCACCGGCUAACUCCGUGCCAGCAGCCGCGGUAAUACGGAGGGUGCAAGCGUUAAUCGGAAUUACUGGGCGUAAAGCGCACGCAGGCGGUCUGUCAAGUCGGAUGUGAAAUCCCCGGGCUCAACCUGGGAACUGCAUUCGAAACUGGCAGGCUAGAGUCUUGUAGAGGGGGGUAGAAUUCCAGGUGUAGCGGUGAAAUGCGUAGAGAUCUGGAGGAAUACCGGUGGCGAAGGCGGCCCCCUGGACAAAGACUGACGCUCAGGUGCGAAAGCGUGGGGAGCAAACAGGAUUAGAUACCCGAGUAGUC
rnacentral:rRNA from 1 species